AACGCACAUUGCGCCCAUUGGUACUCCUUUGGGCAUGUCUGUUUGAGCGUCGGAGCAGCUGCCCACGAACUAUUAUAACUAAACUGGUGGUUUUUGAACCUGAACGGCUUAAACAACCGUGUCCGGUUUUAAAGUUGUCAGCUCUGCCGGCUGCCUCCGCCCAACCAGGACAUAGUAAGCAACUGCUUGUCCGAGGGUGAGGCUGAGCGGUACGGCCUGAACACAAAACCUACCCAUUUCUCAAAAUUCAUUGACCUCAAAUCAGACAAGGAUACCCGCUGAACUUAA
rnacentral:misc_RNA from 1 species